AGAGUUUGAUCCUGGCUCAGAUUGAACGCUGGCGGCAUGCCUUACACAUGCAAGUCGAACGGCAGCACGGGGGCAACCCUGGUGGCGAGUGGCGAACGGGUGAGUAAUACAUCGGAACGNGUCCUGUAGUGGGGGAUAGCCCGGCGAAAGCCGGAUUAAUACCGCAUACGCUCUACGGAGGAAAGGGGGGGAUCUUAGGACCUCCCGCUACAGGGGCGGCCGAUGGCAGAUUAGCUAGUUGGUGGGGUAAAGGCCUACCAAGGCGACGAUCUGUAGCUGGUCUGAGAGGACGACCAGCCACACUGGGACUGAGACACGGCCCAGACUCCUACGGGAGGCAGCAGUGGGGAAUUUUGGACAAUGGGGGCAACCCUGAUCCAGCAAUGCCGCGUGUGUGAAGAAGGCCUUCGGGUUGUAAAGCACUUUUGUCCGGAAAGAAAACGUC
rnacentral:rRNA from 1 species